AUCAGGCUGGGAUGAAGAUACUGAAUGGA
rnacentral:piRNA from 1 species